AUUGAACGCUUGCGGCAGGCCUAACACAUGCAAGUCGAACGAGUGGCGGACGGGUGAGUAAUGUCUGGGAAACUGCCUGAUGGAGGGGGAUAACUACUGGAAAAGGUAGCUAAUACCGCAUACCAUCGGAUGUGCCCAGAGGGGCUUGGCUAGUAGGUGGGGUAAAGGCUCACCUAGGCGACCAUCCCUAGCUGGUCUGAGAGGAUAACCGGCCAAACGGGAACUGGAAAAGGGUCCAGACUCCGAGGGGGGGCAGCAGGGGGGAAUAUUGCACAAUGGGCGCAGGCCGGAUGCAGCCAGGCCGCGUGUAUGAAGAAGGCCUUGGGGUUGUAAAGUACUUUCAGCGGGGAGGCGUUACCCGCAGAAGAAGCACCGGCUAACUCCGUGCCAGCCGCCGCGGAAUUC
rnacentral:rRNA from 1 species